AAACUUACCUGGUUGGGGGAAUACCAUGAUCAAGAAGGUGAUUUCCCCAGGGUGAGGUUCUUCCAUUGCAGGCUUUGGUUGGGUUGACCCUUGUGAUUUCUCCAAAUACGGGAAACUCAACUGCAUAAUUUAUAGUAGUGGGGGAUCGCAUUCAUGCAGUUCCGUG